UCCACGGCAUGUGGGAUCUUGCCGGACCAGGGCUCGAACCCGUGUCCCCUGCAUUGGCAGGCGGAUUCUUAUCCACUGCGCCACCAGGGAAGUCCCCACACUCAUUCUUGGAGGUACUACCUGCUUCCCCACCUGGACUAAAGAGUCACAUUUCUUCACCCCAUGGCCUGCUGCCUCUUUUCCUACCUUUGCCCUGGUUCUCUCCUCUGCCCCACUCCCUUCUCUCACCUCUCUUCACCUCUUACCUUCUUCUCGAUCUUCAACUCAGAUCCCUCCUCCCAGAACCACCCACCCAAUUCUCUUUCUUCCUCUUCCCAGCUCCUCCUCCAGAUGGCCAAUCCCAAUAUACCUUUGAGAUCUCAUCCUUAUUUAACCUUGCAAUCUUCAUAAAACUGUUGGCCGCCCACUGGUUUCAUAACUCCUGGUUUGCCUUUCACUCCUCUGUCGAUUAGGCCCCAUUUCCUCUCCCUCUCCUUGCCCUUUAAACUUGGGUGUUCUUUCCCUUCCUCACCCCCAAGCCCUCUGUGUUGGCCAGGAUCCUGGCAGGAAACAGAUGGCACACUCAGAUUGGGUAAUGCAGGGAAGAGUGUGAAAAAGAACUAUUUACAAAGGUGUGGGGCAGGUGCUGGGAAACCACAUGGGGCAGUGCUGUACCCUGGGGCUAGCAGCAGUGGGAGCACUUCCUCGCUCAGGCCUGAGGGCUGGAGGAGGAACCCUGCCUGAUGUGAGCUGUAACCUUCAUUCGAGAGAAGCAGUCACCCUGUGCUAACCCUGCAUGGAGGGAGUGAGACAGAAAUACCCGUGCUUCUCUCUUCCCAUCCUCUGAUCUCCUACCAGGGCCUCCCAUGGACUGAACCCAGCUGAAAGCCAGAAGGCAGGGAGUCUGGUGUGAGGCAGUCCACAUAGGUCAGCCUUUCCAGGCACAGAGCAAGCUGGAGAAGGGUGGGGAAUAGCUCUGGAGGCCAAGGGAAAACGCCCAGCAUGGUCGCCGCUGUAUUGUGCUUCCUCCCCUGGCUUCACGGACCGUCUUCUUCAUGGUGAUUGCCACAACUCCUGCAUAGACCUCUCUCCUGAGUUCAGGCCUGGGGAUCAAUAGCCUCCUAGAUACCACUGCCCAGGGGCUCCCAGGAACCCAGGAACUGAAUAUCACUUGAGUGCCUGCAGGAAAAUGAUGGAGACCUUCCCAACCCCUGAAUUCCACCCUGCCACUGCUCACCUCUCAGCUCUGCUCAUGAAGUUCCUUGGAGACACAGAUGCCCACAUAUUUUCUAGCUGUGGACACAUGACAAAGUUCUGCCCGGUGAAAAAGAAGCAAAAGAGUUUUGGGAGCAGAUUCCAAGGAAAUUCCUUAAGAGACAUCUGGUAUGCACCCUUCCCCUUUGGAUGGAAGGAGGAGCUAUUAUGGGAAAAGGGUCGUGUGGUUGUGGGGAGGGGAUACAUGCAGAGUAAGCAAAAGUAAAGAGCUCCCUCAGGCCACUCCAUUCAUCCAAGCCCUCAUCACUAUCAUUUUAUUUUAUGGCAAGCUUUUACUAUUUCACCAGAAAAAUAUUUUCCCCUUAAGUGAGUGAUUUUUUGUAAAUGUAUGGUGUCUUUAAAUAUAUUUCAUUGUAUCUUGGA